rfam:Sus scrofa isolate TJ Tabasco breed Duroc chromosome 14, whole genome shotgun sequence.
CUCUAGCUGGUCCAGUGGCUAGGAUUCCUGGUUUUCAUCCAGGAUGCCCAGGUUCAAUUCCAGAGCAGGGAA